GCGUGUUGAGAAAGGAUGAGGAGGUAAAGCUCCUUCUGUUCUCACUUCUUAGAGGGUAGGUCAGACGUGAGUUGGAGAAGAAAAAAAAAAAACAAGGGAGAUACUUUGAAGAAGUGUUUUGAAGACAGACAGGACAAACAGAACCAGAAGUGUUGCUGAUUCGGCCCUCUGCCCCAGUUGGAAUGCUUCUACACAUUCAUGGGAGUUGUGGACCAGAGGCAGCAUUGUUAUGUUCGGAACUUUUACAUCUCCAGCUGGUUCUCUUGCAGGGGUUACUCCUGGAUCUUCACGUGGGAAUUACUCCUGGCAGUGCUCAGCGGGCCAUAUGGGAUGCUGGGAAUUGAACCCAGGUUGGCCGAGUACAAGGCAAACACUCUACCUGCUGUGCUAUUGCUCCAGCCUCAUAAAAGUAAUUUUUUACAAAAAAAUAUUGAAAUCACAGUGAAAAUGUUCAGAAUGUGUCAGUAUGCGUGUGUGUAUCUCUUGUUUAGCCAAGUCUGUGCCUUGAUGUGAGUUUCUACUCUUGGAAACAAAAAAAA